CGCAUCUGUGCAUGCAGCAUAUCAAUAAGCGGAGGAAAAGAGGGCUAUUACCUACGCUUAGGAUGUUGACACACGCGCGUGCUCGAUCUAUACAUGACUCUGCGCAUAUCAAUAAGCGGAGGAAAAGGCUGCGGAACUGAACGACCGCUACCUACGCUUAGGAUGUUGACACACGCGCGUGCUCGACUCUAUACAUGACUCUGUGCAUAUCAAUAAGCGGAGGAAAAGAAACUAACAAGGAUUCCCUUAGUAACGGCGAGUGAAGCGGGAAGAGCUCAAAUUUGAAAUCUUCAAGGUUUUACCUUGACGAAUUGUAGUUUAAAGAAGUGUUUUCUGUUGAAGUUUUGGUGAAAGUUCUUUGGAAUAGGACAUCAUAGAGGGUGAGAAUCCCGUAUUUGACCAUUAUUUUCAGCUGUGUGAUACACUUUCAAAGAGUCGGAUUGUUUGGGAAUGCAGUCCAAAAUGGGUGGUAAAUUUCAUCUAAAGCUAAAUAUUGGCGAGAGACCGAUAGCGAACAAGUACCGUGAGGGAAAGAUGAAAAGAACUUUGAAAAGAGAGUUAAACAGUACGUGAAAUUGUCAAAAGGGAAGCGUUUGACACCAGUGUUGUUUUCUCGAAAAUCAAUUAAAAAGAGUUAGAUUUUGUUGUGUAUUGACCUUAACAGCUUGCAUUUCAAUUUUCUUGCUUUUUUUAAUGCACUUUUCGUUUAACAAGUCAACAUCAGUUUCUUUUGUUGUAAAAAGGUCAUUGGAAGGUGGCUUUCUUUUCGGAGAAAGUGUUUAUAGCCUUUGACUCCUGCAAUCGGAGAGACUGAGGUCUGCAGCGUAGAUCCUUCGGGGUUAGAUACAUUUGUGCUAAGUUAUAGCUUUUUAUAGACAACUUGUUGACUAUGAUUAGUCUUGUAGCUUACUCGCUUAUGCUAUUUUACCUACGCUUAGGAUGUUGACACACGCGCGUGCUCG
rnacentral:rRNA from 1 species